rnacentral:lncRNA from 1 species
GCCAUAUAUGAGCUCACCAGCGUGGUGUCACAUUUGGGCAGAAUGUUUGGUAAAUUGGGCUCAGACAAACAUGGGUGUGGCGCAAGCUGGAUAUAAUCCCAGGAACUAACAGAUCGCUCAUUCCUUCACAGGUCACUACAUCAGUGACAUCAUCGAAGGGUCUGCUGAUGGCUGGCUCUGCCUAAAUGACAGCUAUGCCAGCAGACUGAGUGAACAGGAGAUUCUGCAGAAAAGAGCAAAGAAAUCCUACCUGCUCUUCUACGUGCAAAGGUAGUACUGUUUUUGAGAAGUGCAUGUGAGCUGCAUUUUAAACAAUUAAUAUGUUUUAGUUUUCAUCUUUUCAUUUUCAUUUUCCCAGAGCACCUCAGGAUCCCCCCUGCUGAAGUGAUGACAACCUGCAGCACUGAGGGGACAUUGCUUCGCCGUGCAGAGGCCGAAGAAAAAGAAGAAGAAGAAAAGCAGGAUCGACGCGGAACACCCUGCCCCGGGCCGGGAAUGUUCCUCCCGCUCCACCUGCGGACAUGAGGGCGCGUCGGGCGCCUUCUCUCCACCCGGACCUGCAGCUCCACCCGGAGUGGACGCCACAGAGGAGCCGGCGUGCGAGGACCAGGCAGUCAGGCACAUAUUUUAAUCAGCACGCCAGAGAAUCCCUCCUCCUGAGAUGGUCUUCUCCAAGAGGCCUAAAGCAUCUCAGGAUCCCCCUGCUGAAGAAAUGACAUCUUGCUGCCUUCACCGUAACAUCACGGACCAGGACACCACCAGGACCAUCAUCCUGUGACACCCUGAGGGGGACAAAUGGCUCAGAACUGUUCAGCAUGGAUUUGUUUGUUUUCAGCAUGACUGCUCUUGAUGUGCAUUUCUGCCAUUUUCUCCCCCUGCUGCACUGCUGGUGUUCUACGUGUUGUCCCUGUCUGCCCAGAUCCUAUUGCUUGACUUUGAUUCUGCUUCAUCCCUGCAGAUUCUUCAAAGGGUGUAUAGAACACAACCUGCAGGAGCUGCCCAAGACUACAAACACUAAGUUAUCAUUUCACUGUCUUAGUAGUAAAACUAUUGGUAUAAUUACAGAAAUAUAUUUCUUUUCAGGGACAACAAACCAGACAGGAAGCUGUUGGGGGCUGUUUUUCUUCCAUUUCCAAGGAACAGUCCCACGUAAUGAAGGCACAGGGGUCAAGGGGAUGGGGAGAGACGUUGCUUUGCCUGCCCUAUUGGCCACGACCUGAGGCUUAUGGUCGUGUGUCCCAGCGGGAACCACAAUGAGUUUAAGAAGAGGCCGAAGAAGAAGAAGAGCAAGAUUGACGCGGAGCCCCCUGCCCCGGGCCGGGCAUGUUCCGGGCAUCUUCCUCCCGCUCCACCUGCCUCCUCCAGCGGACAUGAGGGCGCGUUGGGCACCAAAGACUAUCCCAAGUUUCAUGUCAUGAUUGUUUAUUGUAUAUUUGUGUGGUUUUUCUUUAAAAUUUAGACUUUUUAAUAAUGUAUACAUUCUAUACAUUUUGAAUUUUAUGAAUAAAAUGUUAUAAUGUGAAAAUUAUUUACA